rnacentral:lncRNA from 1 species
AGUUACUAUGGCCGAGUUCAAAAAGGGUGUUGCCUGUGUUCUUCUCUAGGAUUUUGAUGGAAUCUUGUCUCACAUUUAGAUCUUUCAUCCAUUUUGAGUUUAUCUUUGUGUAUGGUGAAAAAGAGUGGUCUAGUUUCAUUCUUCUGCAUGUGGAUGUCCAAUUUUCCCAGCACCAUUUAUUGAAGAGACUGUCUUUCUACCAAUGGAUAGUCUUUCCUCCUUUAUCGAAUAUUAGUUGCCCAUAAAGUUCAGGGUCCACUUCUGGAUUCUCUAUUCUGUUCCACUGAUCUAUGUGUCUGUUUUUGUGCCAGUACCACACUGUCUUGAUGACCACAGCUUUGUAGUACAACCUGAAAUCUGGCAUUGUGAUGCCCCCAGAUAUGGUUUUCUUUUUUAAAAUUCCCCUGGCUAUUCGGGGUCUUUUCUGAUUCCACACAAAUCUUAAAAUAAUUUGUUCUAACUCUCUGAAGAAAGUCCAUGGUAUUUUGAUAGGGAUUGCAUUAAACGUGUAUAUUGCCCUGGGUAACAUUGACAUUUUCACAAUAUUAAUUCUGCCAAUCCAUGAGCAUGGAAUAUUUUUCCAUCUCUUUGUGUCUUCCUCAAUUUCUUUCAGAAGUGUUCUAUAGUUUUGAGGGUAUAGAUCCUUUACAUCUUUGGUGAGGUUUAUUCCUAGGUAUCUUAUGCUUUUGGGUGCAAUUGUAAAUGGGAUUGACUCCUUAAUUUCUCUUUCUUCAGUCUCAUUGUUAGUGUAUAGAAAUGCCACUGACUUCUGGGCAUUGAUUUUGUAUCCUGCCACGCUACCGAAUUGCUGUAUGAGUUCUAGCAAUCUUGGGGUGGAGACUUUUGGGUUUUCUAUGUAGAGUAUCAUGUCAUCGGCGAAGAGGGAGAGUUUGACUUCUUCUUUGCCAAUUUGAAUGCCUUUAAUGUCUUUUUGUUGUCUGAUUGCUGAGGCUAGGACUUCCAGUACUAUGUUGAACAGCAGUGGUGAGAGUGGACAUCCCUGUCUUGUUCCUGAUCUUAGGGGAAAGGCUCCCAGUGCUUCCCCAUUGAGAAUGAUAUUUGCUGUGGGCUUUUCAUAGAUGGCUUUUAAGAUGUCGAGGAAUGUUCCCUCUAUCCCUACACUCUGAAGAGUUUUGAUCAGGAAUGGAUGCUGUAUUUUGUCAAAUGCUUUCUCUGCAUCCAAUGAGAGGAUCAUAUGGUUCUUGGUUUUUCUCUUGCUGAUAUGAUGAAUCACAUUGAUUGUUUUACGGGUGUUGAACCAGCCUUGUGUCCCAGGGAUAAAUCCUACUUGGUCAUGGUGAAUAAUUUUUUUAAUGUAUUGUUGGAUCCUAUUGGCCAGUAUCUUGUUGAGAAUUUUUGCAUCCAUGUUCAUCAGGGAUAUUGGUCUGUAAUUCUCCUUUUUGGUGGGGUCUUUGUCUGGUUUUGGAAUUAAGGUGAUGCUGGCCUCAUAGAACGAAUUUGGAAGUACUCCAUCUCUUUCUAUCUUUCCAAACAGCUUUAGGAGAAUAGGUAUGGUUUCUUCUUUAAACGUUUGAUAAAAUUCCCCUGGGAAGCCAUCUGGCCCUGGACUCUUGUGUCUUGGGAGGUUUUUGAUGACUGCUUCAAUUUCCUCCCUGGUUAUUGGCCUGUUCAGGUUUUCUAUUUCUUCCUGUUCCAGUUUUGGUAGUUUGUGGCUUUCCAGGAAUGCGUCCAUUUCUUCUAAAUUGCCUAAUUUAUUGGCGUAUAGCUGUUCAUAAUAUGUUUUUAAAAUCGUUUGUAUUUCCUUGGUGUUGGUAGUGAUCUCUCCUUUCUCAUUCAUGAUUUUAUUAAUUUGAGUCUUCUCUCUCUUCUUUUUAAUAAGGCUGGCUAAUGGUUUAUCUAUCUUAUUAAUUCUUUCAAAGAACCAACUCCUGGUUCUGUUGAUCUGUUCCACAGUUCUUCUGGUCUCGAUUUCGUUGAGUUCUGCUCAAAUCUUUAUUAACUCCCUUCUUCUCUUGGGUGUAGGAUCUAUUUGCUGUUUUUUCUCUAGCUCCUUUAUGUGUAAGGUUAGCUUUUGUAUUUGAGUUCUUUCCAGUUUUUGAAUGGAUGCUUGUAUUGCGAUGUAUUUCCCCCUUAGGACUGCUUUUGCUGCAUCCCAAAGAUUUUGAACGGUUGUAUCUUCAUUCUCAUUAGUUUCCAUGAAUCUUUUUAAUUCUUCCUUAAUUUCCUGGUUGACCCUUUUAUCUUUUAGCAGGAUGGUCCUUAACCUCCACGUGUUUGAGGUCCUUCCAAACUUCUUGUUGUGAUUUAAUUCUAAUUUCAAGGCAUUAUGGUCUGAGAAUAUGCAGGGGACAAUCCCAAUCUUUUGGUAUCGGUACAGACCCGAUUUGUGACCCAGUAUGUGGUCUAUUCUGGAGAAAGUUCCAUGUGCGCUUGAGAAGAAUGUGUAUUCAGUUGAGUUUGGAUGUAAAGUUCUGUAGAUAUCUGUGAAAUCCAUCUGGUCCAGUGUAUCAUUUAAAGCUCUCGUUUCUUUGGAGAUGUUGUGCUUAGAAGACCUAUCGAGUAUAGAAAGAGCUAGAUUGAAGUCACCAAGUAUAAGUGUAUUAUUAUCUAAGUAUUUCUUCACUUUGGUUAAUAAUUGAUUGAUAUAUUUGGCAGCUCCCACAUUCGGGGCAUAUAUAUUGAGGAUUGUUAAGUCCUCUUGUUGAAUAGAUCCUUUAAGUAUGAUAUAGUGUCCCUCUUCAUCUCUCACUACAGUCUUUGGGGUAAAUUUUAGUUUAUCUGAUAUAAGGAUGGCUACCCCUGCUUUCUUUUGAGGACCAUUCGAAUGGUAAAUGGUUCUUCAACCUUUUAUUUUCAGGCUGUAGGUGUCCUUCUGUCUAAAAUGAGUCUCUUGUAGACAGCAAAUAGAUGGGUCCUGCUUUUUUAUCCAGUCUGAAACCCUGCGCCUUUUGAUGGGGUCAUUAAACCCGUUCACAUUCAGAGUUACUAUUGAGAGAUA